rnacentral:tRNA from 1 species
CUGAGGCAUGGCUGACACGCGACGGAAUGUGUCACCCGUACAGUUCGUUGUUUUUUUAAGCAGCUUAGUGAAUUUUGCCGGACAAGUGCUGGUGCCUGUGUGACCCACUUCCCUCUCCGUGCAUAGUGUCCCGAUACGGUCAUGUCCGUCGACUUAGAAGCCACCUUGGGGCUCUCCUUGCUCCUUUUCCCUGGUGCUGAAACUCCUAUUAGGAUUUCUUUUUCUUUUUUUAAAUAUUUUUUUGUUGUCCUUUAUUUUAUUUAUUCAUAUGUGCUGCUGAGGCUCGAACCCAGGGCCUCACACAUGCUAGGCAAGCGCUCCACCACUGAGCCCCAGCCCCAGCCCUCAGAGUUCCUUCGAGUCACUCUGUUGGCCUGGUGUCUGUGUCAUACAGGUGCAGUCACACUUCAUAGUUUUGAGAUUGUCCCUGCUGUUGCUGGCAUUGGCCACUCCCUUCUUUCUUGUGCAGAACCAUUCCUUUAUAUGAGGUGUCGGUGUGCUCAGUGGUCUCCUCUUGGUGGCCCCUUCGAUUUUUCUGGUUAGCUUUUGGGAUAGAUGGCUACCAGCAGCUUUUACAAGUUUUAUUCUGAUUUGUUCUCAUUUUUCUUGAGCAAAUGCUGAGAUGUGGACUCACUGAGUCGUAGGGUGGUUGUGGUGGUGGUUUCACUUUGCGAAAGCAUCAGGCCACUUUCCCAAUGGUGGGUGUUGGUUACUUUUUCCAGUUUAUAAACAUAAUCGGGGAUUUGGACUCAUUGGAAGAUUUCUGCUCUACCUGAUCCCUGCUUUGGCAUUUCAGCAGUUUCAAACCAGCUUAUGAUUUUAAAAUGUUGCUAAGAUAAGCUCAUUGGAAAACAGUGCAAGAUAUCAUUUAGCAUUUAAAG